UCCUCCGUGGCGCAAUUGGCUAGCGCGUCGUGAGUUCCUCCCCAUUCCUGACGCCAUCGUGGGUGUUGCCGUUGUUUACUAACUGGAUUCGUAUAGUGACUGUUAAUCAGGAGGUUGACAGUUCAAGCCUGUCCGGGGGAG
rnacentral:tRNA from 1 species